GAUGAACGCUGGCGGCGUGCCUAACACAUGCAAGUCGAACGGAGAUACGAUGUGAGCGAGAGGUGCUUGCACUGAUUAAUCUUUUCGUAUCUUAGUGGCGGACGGGUGAGUAACGCGUGGGUAACCUGCCUUAUACCGGGGGAUAACACUUAGAAAUAGGUGCUAAUACCGCAUAAGCGCACGGUGUCGCAUGACACAGUGUGAAAAACUCCGGUGGUAUAAGAUGGACCCGCGUCUGAUUAGCUAGUUGGUGAGAUAACAGCCCACCAAGGCGACGAUCAGUAGGGGUUCUGAGAGGAAGGUCCCCCACAUUGGAACUGAGACACGGUCCAAACUCCUACGGGAGGCAGCAGUGAGGAAUAUUGGUCAAUGGACGAGAGUCUGAACCAGCCAAGUAGCGUGCAGGAAGACGGCCCUAUGGGUUGUAAACUGCUUUUAUAAGGGAAUAAAGUGAGUCUCGUGAGACUUUUUGCAUGUACCUUAUGAAUAAGGACCGG
rnacentral:rRNA from 1 species